rnacentral:rRNA from 1 species
UACAGAGGGUGCAAGCGUUGUUCGGAAUUACUGGGCGUAAAGCGCACGUAGGCGGAUCUUUAAGUCAGAGGUGAAAUCCCAAGGCUCAACCUUGGAACUGCCUUUGAUACUGGGGAUCUUGAGUCCGGGAGAGGUGAGUGGAACUGCGAGUGUAGAGGUGAAAUUCGUAGAUAUUCGCAAGAACACCAGUGGCGAAGGCGGCUCACUGGCCCGGUACUGACGCUGAGGUGCGAAAGCGUGGGGAGCAAACAGGG